rnacentral:rRNA from 1 species
UACGUAGGGGGCAAGCGUUGUCCGGAUUUACUGGGCGUAAAGAGCGCGUAGGCGGAAAUUUAAGCGUGGCCUGAAAGCCCCCGGCUCAACCGGGGAGUGCGGCUGCGAACUGGGUUUCUUGAGGACGAUAGAGGAGAGUGGAAUUCCUGGUGUAGCGGUGAAAUGCGUAGAUAUCAGGAGGAACACCCGAGGCGAAGGCGGCUCUCUGGGUCGUACCUGACGCUGAGGCACGAAAGCGUGGGGAGCAAACAGG